UCGGGAAUUUUGGGCAAUGGGCGAAAGCCUGACCCAGCAACGCCGCGUGAGGGAUGAAGUAUUUCGGUAUGUAAACCUCGAAAGAAUGGGAAGAAUAAAUGACGGUACCAUUUAUAAGCUCCGGCUAACUACGAGCCAGCAGCCGCGGUAAUACGUAGGGAGCAAGCGUUGUUCGGAUUUACUGGGCGUAAAGGGCGCGUAGGCGGCGCGGUAAGUCACUUGUGAAAUCUCUGAGCUUAACUCAGAACGGCCAGCUGAUACUGCUUUGCUAGAGUGCGGAAGGGGCAAUCGGAAUUCUUGGUGUAGCGGUAAAAUGCGUAGAUAUCAAGAGGAACACCUGAGGUGAAGACGGGUUGCUGGGCCGACACUGACGCUGAGGCGCGAAAGCCAGGGGAGCAAACG
rnacentral:rRNA from 1 species